UGGGGAAUAUUGGACAAUGGGGGCAACCCUGAUCCAGCCAUGCCGCGUGAGUGAAGAAGGCCUUAGGGUUGUAAAGCUCUUUCACCCGUGACGAUGAUGACGGUAGCGGGAGAAGAAGCCCCGGCUAAUUCCGUGCCAGCAGCCGCGGUAAUACGGAAGGGGCUAGCGUUGUUCGGAAUUACUGGGCGUAAAGCGCGCGUAGGCGGCCAUGCAAGUGAGGCGUGAAAGGCCUGGGCUCAACCUGGGAACUGCGCUUCAGACUGCACGGCUUGAGUCCGGGAGAGGGUGGUGGAAUUCCCAGUGUAGAGGUGAAAUUCGUAGAUAUUGGGAGGAACACCAGUGGCGAAGGCGGCCACCUGGCCCGGUACUGACGCUCAAGUGCGAAAGCGUGGGGAGCAAACAGG
rnacentral:rRNA from 1 species